UUAGGGAGCGUGCGAUGGUGAUCACAUCAGCCGUGGAAAUACUUUCAACACACAUUGUCACCUCGCAUUUAGCUAGUCUCCGUCCAUUACGUAGCCUUUAUUUCGAGUUACUAACAUUUAGCAUCUGAACCGGUAUCUAAUACCCAUGUUCUACUAGGAGUACUAGUAAAGUACACAUCAAUAACACGUAUAUUCAAUAUACUUUUGUUGACGUUGCCAUCCUUCUUAUCUACCAAAUGUCUAGGGUGGUUCCGCCUUAGUGAUCAU
rnacentral:lncRNA from 1 species